CCGGGUAUAGCGCAGUCAGGUAGCGCACCUGCUUUGGGAGCAGGGGGUCGCAGGUUCGAAUCCUGCUGCCCGGA
rnacentral:tRNA from 1 species